ACAAAAUGACAAGGUGGCAAGAGCAUUUGCCAUAUCUCUUAACAUAAUCUCAGGCUUGAUGGGUUCUGGAAACCUCGCCCUGCUCCCUUCUAGAGCCCUGAGGGAUCCCACAGGUCACUACCAGUGGGAAGAAGGAGCAUUUAGCUGUCAAUCUUCUUCCCGUGUGUAAUAUCAGUGUCUCCUUCCAUGUGCUCUGUGCAGCCACGGAGAAGAGCAGAGAGGGAAGGGGCCGGGCCCAGGGCUGUGUCCCGGGGCUGUGCCUUGUGUGGCUCCUUUGCCAGCCCCAGGGAGCCUGAGGGUCUCCUACAGAGCCACGGGAGCUGUUCUGUCCUACCUCUUUUUUCAGCCAAGCCUCUUGCUGAAGGUGAUCUGGCUUCCCAACCCACACCCAGGACUGAGGCUCUGGAAGAUGGUGAGGGUGUGUCUGCAGGGAGGACUUUCCCAGCUCCUGGGUUGGUUGCUGCACACAAGCCUGGCUCCCAUCACAGGGGUCCUCCAAGAGGAAAUACCAAAGCUACAGGAGUUAUGAAACCCCAUGAGCCAUCCAAACCCAUGAGGCAAAUGCUGAAGAAAAUUCUGCAGGAAGGACAAGAAGUGGAUGGAGAGGCUGUGCUGAAGGCAGCGUUUCCCGGAGGAAGCAGUGGCUCAUGGGCAGCCUCUGCUGCAGGAAGGGAGGCCAUGCCAGGCACAGUCCCAGGAGGUAAUUGCUGUGCC